CUUUUUCUUCCCCCAAUUCCCGAGAACCUCUCUUCCCCGAUCUCCUCCUCUUCACAUCGCGCCCGACUCUUGCCUCCUCUCCCGAUUCUUUCUCGUCGCCGGUUGACAUCGCCGACUCCGGGAGCCACCGACCGACUUCUCCUCUUCGUUGGCUCAGCCCCAUCGUCGAUUGCCAGCAAGAUCGCCACGACCGGCCGGAUUCACUCCUCCUCUCACGACUCUGCCCUAGGUCGCCGACUGCGCCUCCUCACGCCACCGCACGUCGACGCCAUCGCCGAUCUUGUGUUUCUAUUUCCCCUCUACCUCUCCUCUACCAACACCAGCCACUCGCGGGAUGAUUCCGGUGCCCCGAUCCAGUGCCAGACCUCUCCCUCUCGCGUCUCUGCUGAUGCCGUGGGAGCCCGAUGUCGAGCCACAGUGCCGUCGACUUCGAUCAACCCACCACUGAUCAAAAGGGAGAGGAUCUGAACCCUAGUUCGGUCCCUCAUUGCCUCAUACGCGUGCUGUGGUGUCGACCAAUGGAGCCUCUGUUCCAACCGAGAUUGUGUUGCCAUCUACACUGUCAUCGGCCAUUUGUUUCAAGAAAUGCGUACUAGGCCAGUGAACCAUUGGAGAAGGGGUUAUUAACAUGGAACUAAGGGUGGAUAUCGGCAGAGCAAUGUUUGGCUAAGGGAUAGACAUCUGAUCGCUGUCUGCACAUCAGGGACUUGGAGUCGGGACGAGCGUCUCGACGCGGAAGUACUUAGCACGAUCUACACUUUGAGGCGGG